AGAGUUUGAUCAUGGCUCAGAAUCAACGCUGGCGGCGUGCCUCAGACAUGCAAGUCGAACGCGAAAGUCCCCUUCGGGGGACAAGUAGAGUGGCGCACGGGUGAGUAACACGUAGGUAAUCUACCUUCGGGUGGGGAAUAACAAUCGGAAACGGUUGCUAAUACCGCAUAAUGCAGCGGCACCUAAUGGUGACAGUUGUUAAAGCGGGGGAUCGAAAGAUCUCGCGCCUGAAGAGGAGCCUGCGGCGGAUUAGCUAGUUGGUAGGGUAAUGGCCUACCAAGGCGACGAUCCGUAGCCGGCCUGAGAGGGCGGUCGGCCACACUGACACUGACAUACGGGUCAGACUCCUACGGGAGGCAGCAGUCGGGAAUUUUGGGCAAUGGGCGAAAGCCUGACCCAGCAACGCCGCGUGAAGGAUGAAAUCCCUCGGGAUGUAAACUUCGCAAGAACGGGAAGAAUUAGUGGAAGUUAAUACCUUCCAUGAUGACGGUACCGUUUGUAAGCUCCGGCUAACUCCGUGCCAGCAGCCGCGGUA
rnacentral:rRNA from 1 species